UGCAGUUUUAAGUAUGUCUUAAUGUAGUAGCAUACAUGCGGGAGAUUUGGAAUGCUUUUAAAUAUUUCUGGAUCAAACACUAUUACAGGAACAUACAAAAAGUAAUAAGGUAUAUAAAUAGAAAUCUUAGCGUAAUCUGUAGACUGGACAGAUGUUUAUAAUCUGCUGUUUCACUGUCUCAACUGUUGUUAUUUUCACUAUUCUCAAAUUCAGCAGUGCAAAAUUUUUUUUCAAGCAGGUGGCAGCAUAAAUUUUUUUUCAGCUACAGUGCAAAACAUAAUUUUUUUUUCUGUCAGCUAGGCCAUCAAAAUAUUUUUUUCAAAAAAAUCCCAGGCCCCCC
rnacentral:lncRNA from 1 species